AGAAUAUCGACACAUCACCCCCUCCAGAUACCCCGCCAUCACCUUCUUUUUUUCGGAGGGACUUAAUACAAAACAGAAGAAAGUGGACAGACAACAUGCAAUUGUGGGAAAUGCAGGGGAAAAGACAACGAUCAACGGAAAAAGAAGGAGACAGGGAAGAAAGAGGAAAACAACACAGAGAGAAGAGGGGCAAGACAUCGAUUUAGAAGGAAUUUUUAAUUUAACAGAUAAAACUCUUACUUUAGAAC